rnacentral:rRNA from 1 species
AGCUCCAAUAGCGUAUAUUAAAGUUGUUGCAGUUAAAAAGCUCGUAGUUGGAUUUGUGGUAGGAGCGACCGGUCCGCUUCUACGAGAAGUGUGUACUAGCGUUGCAUCCGGCCAUCCUUGCGGAGAACGGCUCUGGCAUUAGGUUGUUGGGGUCGGGAUCCGCAUCGUUUACUGUGAAAAAAUUAGAGUGUUUAAAGCAGGCAGUUUGCUUGAAUACAUUAGCAUGGAAUAAUAAGAUAGGACUGUGGUGCUAUUUUGUUGGUUUGCACACCGCGGUAAUGAUUAAUAGGGAUAGUUGGGGGUAUUCAUAUUUCAUUGUCAGAGGUGAAAUUCUUGGAUUUAUGAAAGAUGAACUUAUGCGAAAGCAUUUACCAAGGAUGUUUUCAUUAAUCAAGAACGA